UACAGAGGCCUCAAGCGUUGUUCGGAAUCACUGGGCGUAAAGGGUGCGUAGGCGGCGCGGAAAGUCAGGGGUGAAAUCCCGGAGCUCAACUCCGGAACUGCCUUUGAUACUCCCGCGCUUGAGAACUGGAGGGGAGAUCGGAAUUCACGGUGGAGCAGUGAAAUGCGUGGAUAGUCGUGAGGACACUAGUGGCGAAGGCGGAUCUCUGGACAGUAUCUGACGCUGAGGCACGAAGCCAGGGGAGCGAACGGG
rnacentral:rRNA from 1 species